rnacentral:rRNA from 1 species
UGGAAAGAUGAAUCAAAGAAGGUAAUAAUCCUGUAGUCGAAAAUGUUGUCUCUCUUGAGUGGAUCCUGAGUACGACGGAGCACGUGAAAUUCCGUCGGAAUCUGGGAGGACCAUCUCCUAAGGCUAAAUACUCUCUAGUGACCGAUAGUGAACCAGUACCGUGAGGGAAAGGUGAAAAGCACCCCGGAAGGGGAGUGAAAUAGAACCUGAAACCGUGUGCUUACAAGUAGUCAGAGCCCGUUAAUGGGUGAUGGCGUGCCUUUUGUAGAAUGAACCGGCGAGUUACGAUUUGAUGCAAGGUUAAGCAGUAAAUGUGGAGCCGUAGCGAAAGCGAGUCUGAAUAGGGCGUUUAGUAUUUGGUCGUAGACCCGAAACCAGGUGAUCUACCCUUGGUCAGGUUGAAGUUCAGGUAACACUGAAUGGAGGACCGAACCGACUUACGUUGAAAAGUGAGCGGAUGAACUGAGGGUAGCGGAGAAAUUCCAAUCGAACCUGGAGAUAGCUGGUUCUCUCCGAAAUAGCUUUAGGGCUAGCCUCAAGUGAUGAUUAUUGGAGGUAGAGCACUGUUUGGACGAGGGGCCCCUCUCGGGUUACCGAAUUCAGACAAACUCCGAAUGCCAAUUAAUUUAACUUGGGAGUCAGAACAUGGGUGAUAAGGUCCGUGUUCGAAAGGGAAACAGCCCAGACCACCAGCUAAGGUCCCAAAAUAUAUGUUAAGUGGAAAAGGAUGUGGCGUUGCCCAGACAACUAGGAUGUUGGCUUAGAAGCAGCCAUCAUUUAAAGAGUGCGUAAUAGCUCACUAGUCGAGUGACACUGCGCCGAAAAUGUACCGGGGCUAAACAUAUUACCGAAGCUGUGGAUUGUCCUUUGGAC